rnacentral:rRNA from 1 species
AUUAAAGUUGUUGCAGUUAAAAAGCUCGUAGUCGGAUGUCGGGCUCGGGCAAGCUGUCGGCCUUUGGUCGGACGGCAGGCUCGGGUCUUUCUGCCUGAGGAACCCGGUUGCUUUAACGAGCUGCCGGUGGACGCAGGUCGUUUACUUUGAAAAAAUUAGAGUGUUCAAAGCAGGCUNGCGCUUGAAUACAUUAGCAUGGAAUAAUGGAAUAGGACUUUGGUGCUAUUUUGUUGGUUUAUGGGACCGAAGUAAUGAUUAACAGGGACAGUUGGGGCCGUUUAUAUUUCGUUGUCAGAGGUGAAAUUCUUGGAUUUACGAAAGAUAAACUUCUGCGAAAGCAUUCGGCAAGGAUGUUUUCAUUGAUCAAGAACGAAAGUUAGGGGAUCGAAGACGAUCAGAUACCGUCGUAGUCUUAACCAUAAACUAUGCCGACUAGGGAUCAGUGGAUGUCAAUUUGCGACUCCAUUGGCACCUUGUGAGAAAUCAAAGUUUUUAGGUUCCGGGGGGAGUAUGGUCGCAAGGCUGAAACUUAAAGGAAUUGACGGA